rnacentral:rRNA from 1 species
GACGAACGCUGGCGGCGUGCUUAACACAUGCAAGUCGAACGGAAAGGCCCUGCUUGCAGGGUACUCGAGUGGCGAACGGGUGAGUAACACGUGGGUGAUCUGCCCUGCACUUCGGGAUAAGCCUGGGAAACUGGGUCUAAUACCGGACAGGAGCCAUUUUUAAUGUGAUGGUUGGAAAGUUUUUUUUGGUGUAGGAUGAGCUCGCGGCCUAUCAGCUUGUUGUUGGGGUAAUGGCCUACCAAGGCGGCGACGGGUAGCCGGCCUGUGAGGGUGGACGGCCACAAUGGGACUGAGAGACGGCCCAGACGCCUACGGGAGGCAGCAGUGGGGAAUAUUGCACAAUGGGCGCAAGCCUGAUGCAGCGACGCCGCGUGGGGGAUGACGGCCUUCGGGUUGUAAACGUCUUUCGCUAGGGACGAAGCUUUUUGUGACGGUACCUAGAUAAGAAGCACCGGCUAACUACGUG